GACGUAGGGGGCCAGCGUUGCUCGGAAUAACUGGGCGUAAAGGGUUCGUAGGCGGUGUGGCAAGUCGGGAGUGAAAUCCUGAGGCUUAACUUCAGGACUGCUACCGAAACUGCCAUGCUCGAGUGCGGGAGAGGCGAGUGGAAUUGCAGGUGUAGCGGUGAAAUGCGUAGAUAUCUGCAGGAACACCAGUGGCGAAGGCGGCUCGCUGGACCGCAACUGACGCUGAGGCGCGAAAGCUAGGGGAGCAAACAGG
rnacentral:rRNA from 1 species